rnacentral:lncRNA from 1 species
UUUUGAUAUUUAAUAAUAAGCAACCAUUAUUUUAGAUUAGAAUAAUAAUAUUAAUAUUACACAUGAAAACGAGGCCUAACCAAGGAAGCAGCCUCAGAUAUUGCAUCAGCUCUUAUUUUAGUGCAUAUCUAUCAAGCAGAGAACUUAUUAUGGUAUGGCCUUCUUCAAUUGCUUGCCUGCUGAAGUUGCUUGUUCUCUUUGUUUUCUUGUUUGCCUGACUCGCCCGCCUGACCGCGAUGGCCGAAGUCGGUAAGUACGUUCAAGUGUGACUUGUUCCCCUUCGCUUUAAAAUCAUCAACUUCGAUUUUAUUGUUGCCCUUGUCGGCCCCGUCAGUUCUGUUGGCGAAGCGGGUAAAUCCCGUCACGUCGCCAGUGUUGUCGGUCACAUCCACCCCUCUAAAUUUAAUAUCAUUGCUUCCAGCAUUGGCUGGCUUGGUUUGAUCUUGACCCAUUGUCUCACUGAUUGAUUUUUAGUUGGGAUUUGCGU